rnacentral:rRNA from 1 species
UGAACGCUAGCGGCAGGCCUAAUACAUGCAAGUCGAGGGGUAACAUGAGAGCUUGCUCUUGAUGACGACCGGCGCACGGGUGCGUAACGCGUAUGCAACCUACCCACAACUGGAGCAUAGCCCGGAGAAAUUCGGAUUAAUACUCCAUAAUGCAGGGGUACCUCCUGGUACUAUUUGCUAAAGAUUUAUCGGUUGUGGAUGGGCAUGCGUCUGAUUAGUUUGUUGGUGAGGUAACGGCUCACCAAGACUACGAUCAGUAGGGGGUCUGAGAGGAUGAUCCCCCACACUGGCACUGAGAUACGGGCCAGACUCCUACGGGAGGCAGCAGUAGGGAAUAUUGGGCAAUGGGCGAAAGCCUGACCCAGCCAUGCCGCGUGAAGGAUGAAGGCCUUCUGGGUUGUAAACUUCUUUUAUAUAGGAAGAAAAAGGUCAUGCGUGACCAAUUGACGGUACUAUAUGAAUAAGCACCGGCUAACUCC